AAGUCGUAACAAGGUUUCCGUAGGUGAACCUGCGGAAGGAUCAUUACUGUACUUCCGGUAGCCGCAGUCGAGCCUCUGCCGCCUGCCUUGCGAAAGCGAGGCCGCGCGGCGGGGGUGGGAUUUCGGCCACCGCGUCUUCAACUCGCCGCAGAGGACACCACACCCGUGGUGGCCAACGCGGUCGAGGCGAAGUAACCCUUGCCUAUGAGUACCUUUUCGUUCCCUCGGCGGGCUCGCGCUCGCCGCUGGGCCCAUCCAUACCCCUUUGCAGUAGUCGUAUACCUCUGAUCGUGGGCACUUGAAUCUUUACAACUUUCAACAACGGAUCUCUUGGUUCUG
rnacentral:misc_RNA from 1 species